ensembl:lncRNA
GGCAACUACCAGAACUACCGCGAUGUCACUGCAGCAUUCACACUACCACGCUGUUCAAAUAAUGCAAACAAUAUGAUGGUCCAAAACAAGCAUCUUUGUAACGGUGGGCUGUGCAGCCUUCCAAACACUGGCUGCUGGUCAAACAGUAACCAGUCUGGAAGUCUAAUUAAAAAACAGACAGGAUGCUUUCUUCACAGAAAGUCCCCACAUUUAGCUUUUCGUCGCUGAACUUGACUUCUGGCCCCUAAAAAAGGAAUUUAUAUCAGCACGCUGAGGGUGUGAAACAGUCCAUGAAGCAAGCAUGUGUUCCACUUAAAGUCCUGAACAUAACGUGGCUCAUUUAUAACCGAUGGAAUAAACAGAUGAGCUCACUUAGGAGGCACAAAACUGCACCAAAGACACGCAAAAUGAAUCAAAAGAAGACGCAAAAUGUAAACAGAGAGAAACAAAUCGGUGCCAAGGAGACACAAAAUACACCAAAGAGUCAAAACGAUAUCUCCAUAGAGAUAAAAAAAAUAUACCCAAGAAACGCAGAACGAUGCCAGAGAGACUCAAAGCAUAAGCAAAAGAUAGAAAAUAGUAACAAAGAAACUUAAAAUAACACUGAACUGACACAAAAACAAUACCCAAGAGAUAAAAAAUGGUGCCAAAAAAUGGAGAGAGAAAGCGUAACCAAAGAGAUAAUAAAAAUACAACAAAGACUCAAAAAAAAAGUGCCCCGGCGUAAGUGAGCAUGCUCGGGGUGUGAAGCUGGCAUGUUUUCCAUUUAAAGUUCUGAACUUAGCGUGGCUCACUUCAGAGGCACAAACUGGCACCAAAGAGACAAAAAUCACACUGAAGAGUCAAAAGAAAUCAAAAGAGACAUAAAAUACACCAAUGAGUCAAUAUAAUCUCACCAAAGAGAAAAUAACAAUACCCAAGAGAUUAAAAAUGAUGUCAGAGAGACAUAAAACAAAGACAUAAAAAUACACCCAAGAGCCCAAAAGAAACACAAAAUGAAUCAAAAGACUUUUAAAGUGUUAAAGAAACUCAAAAUAAUGACAGAGAGGCAGAAAAUAUUACCAAAUAUUUAAAAUAACAACAACAAAGGCACAAAAACAAUUUAAAAAAGGACACAAAUUACACUGAAGAGAACGAGUCCCAGCGUAUGUGAGCGUGCUCAGGAUGUGAAGCAGUGCAUGACCCUGGCGUGUUUCCAUUUAAAGUCCUGACCAUAACGGGGAUCGUUUAUUAUCAAUGGCAAAAGCAGACAAGCUCGCUUAAGUUCUC